AGGGACAGGAGCACACACCAUGAUUUCACACAUCCAGCUGAUCUGGCCCCUGGCAUUCUGUGUCUCAGGUAUCAGUGGGGACAUCACCAUGACCCAGUCUCCCCCGGUGCUGUCAGUGGGACUGGGCCAGACCGCAACCAUCACCUGUAAGGCCAGUCAAAGCAUUAGCAGCUACCUUGCUUGGUACCAGCAGCGAGAAGGUCAGAAACCCUCUCUCCUGAUCUAUGCUGCAACAACUCGAUUCACAGGAGUCUCCGAUCGAUUCACCGGCAGUGGAUCAGGGACCAGUUUCACCCUGACAAUCAGCAACAUUCAGAAUGAGGAUGUCGCUGACUAUUCCUGUCAGCAGUAUUACAGCUGGCCUUUUACGUUCGGUAAAGGAACCAAGCUCAGACUGAUCCGUGACAACUCUCAGCCCAAGCUGACCCUGCUGCCCCCCUCCCCUGAGCAGAUUAAUGCCAAGGACACUGCCACCCUGGUGUGCCUUGCCAAUCACUUCUAUCCCGAUGAGCUGGAGGUGCAGUGGAAGAAAGACGGUGCAGUCAUUUCGGACGGGGUUCAGACCAGCAACUACCUGCGAGCUUCGGACAGCACCUACAGUGUCAGCAGCCUGCUGACCCUCUCUGGGUCUGACUGGGAGUCCAACGCUCGCUUCUCCUGUGCCCUCACCCACGUGACCCUCCCCUCUCCCCUCAGCAAGAGCAUCAGGAGAUCAGAAUGUGUGUAGAGUGUUGGAGACAGUCCACAGAGGAGACACAACUUUAAAUAGAACAGGGCUGAGCUGGCAGGACAAAGGUCAUUGUCAGCACUGAAUUUCAACUCUCUUCCUUCUCAGGACUGCUCAGGGAACCUUCUGAGGUUUGGAUAUUAAAGCACAUCAUUGCGACAGUGUCGAGGGAGCUUUAUGCUGUGUCAAACCCCAUGCUGUCCCUGUUCUGGGAGUGUUUGAUGGGGACAGGGUUGACUUGUGAUGCCAAGUAAAAUCUCUUGAAGUUGCUGAAGACUGUCAGCUGUACAAAACAAUGUGAACCUCAGAAUUCUCUGCUUCAAUAAACCAGAUCUCCUUCCUGCUCAGCUGUCAGUUCCAAUUUAAGGUUUUGUCACUGUUUAAAGGGACAGGAUUCUCAUGUUAUUGAGCAAUUCUCCACAAAUGUUUUCCUUAAACACCAUUGUGGCUGUGAAUUUGAGCAGCUUCCUCUGUCUGGGCUGUUAAUUGCAGUUUUUUUUCUGUCAAUGUGAAUGUGGAAAAGGGAAUA